GACGAACGCUGGCGGCGUGCUUAACACAUGCAAGUCGAACGGAAAGGCCCUGCUUUUGUGGGGUGCUCGAGUGGCGAGCGGGUGAGUAACACGUGAGUAACCUGCCCUUGACUUUGGGAUAACUUCAGGAAACUGGGGCUAAUACCGGAUAGGAGCUCCUGCUGCAUGGUGGGGGUUGGAAAGUUUCGGCGGUUGGGGAUGGACUCGCGGCUUAUCAGCUUGUUGGUGGGGUAGUGGCUUACCAAGGCUUUGACGGGUAGCCGGCCUGAGAGGGUGACCGGCCACAUUGGGACUGAGAUACGGCCCAGAAUUCUACGGGAGGCAGCAGUAGGGAAUAUUGCACAAUGGGCGGAAGCCUGAUGCAGCAACGCCGCGUGCGGGAUGACGGCCUUCGGGUUGUAAACCGCUUUCGCCUGUGACGAAGCGUGAGUGACGGUAAUGGGUAAAGAAGCACCGGCUAACUACGUG
rnacentral:rRNA from 1 species